AGAAUUUGAUCUUGGUUCAGAUUGAACGCUGACGGCGUGGAUGAGGCAUGCAAGUCGAACGGUGUUGUGAGCUUGCUCAUAACAUAGUGGCGAAAGGGUUAGUAAUACAUGGAUAACCUGCCUUUAACUUUGGGAUAACGGCUGGAAACGGCCGCUAAUACCGGAUGUGGUGGUGAUACUGAGUGGUGUUAUCAUUAAAGUGGGGGAUCGCAAGACCUUGCGGUUAAAGAGGGGUCCAUGGGAUAUCAGCUUGUUGGUGUGGUAAAUGCGCACCAAGGCAGAGACGUCUAGGCGAGUUGAGAGAUUGACCGCCAACACUGGGACUGAGACACUGCCCAGACUCCUACGGGAGGCUGCAGUCGAGAAUCAUUCGCAAUGGGCGAAAGCCUGACGAUGCGACGCCGUGUGAACGAAGAAGGCUCUAGGGUUGUAAAGUUCUUUCGCUUGGGAACAAGAGAAGUUGGCUAAUAUCCAGCUGAUUUGAGGGUACCAGGUAAAGAAGCACCGGCUAACUCCGUGCCAGCAGCUGCGGUAAUACGGAGGGUGCGAGCGUUAAUCGGAUUUAUUGGGCGUAAAGGGCGUGUAGGUGGAAGUAAAAGUCAUAUGUGAAAUCCCGGGGCUUAACCUCGGAACUGCAUAUGAAACUCUAUUUCUUGAGGGUAGGCGGAGAAAACGGAAUUUCACGUGUAGCGGUGAAAUGCGUAGAUAUGUGGAAGAACACCUGUGGCGAAAGCGGUUUUCUAGCUUAUACCUGACACUGAGGCGCGAAAGCCAGGGGAGCGAACAGGAUUAGAUACCCUGGUAGUCCUGGCUGUAAACGAUGCAUACUUGGUGUAGCUGGCAUCAACCCCAGCUGUGCCGUAGCUAACGCGUUAAGUAUGCCGCCUGGGGAGUACACUCGCAAGGGUGAAACUCAAAAGAAUUGACGGGGGCCCGCACAAGCAGUGGAGUAUGUGGUUUAAUUCGAUGCAACGCGAAGAACCUUACCCAGGUUUGACAUGCAGUAGACGACAUCAGAGAUGGUGUUUCCCUUUGGGCCGCUGCACAGGUGCUGCAUGGCUGUCGUCAGCUCGUGCCGUGAGGUGUUGGGUUAAGUCCCGCAACGAGCGCAACCCUUAUCAUUAGUUGCCAGCAUGUAACGAUGGGAACUCUAAUGAGACUGCCUAGGUUAACUAGGAGGAAGGUGAGGAUGACGUCAAGUCAGCAUGGCCCUUAUGUCUGGGGCUACACACGUACUACAAUGGCCGAUACAGAAGGCGGCGAAGCCGUGAGGUGGAGCAAAUCCUUAAAAUCGGUCUCAGUUCGGAUUGUAGUCUGCAACUCGACUACAUGAAGUUGGAAUUGCUAGUAAUGGCGUGUCAGCAAUAACGCCGUGAAUACGUUCCCGGGCCUUGUACACACCGCCCGUCACAUCAUGGGAGUUGGUUUUACCCGAAGUCACUGACUUAACUGCAAGGAGAGAGGUGCCUAAGGUAAGGCUGAUGACUGGGAUGAAGUCGGAACAAGGUA
rnacentral:rRNA from 1 species